rnacentral:rRNA from 1 species
UACGGGGGGGGCAAGCGUUGUUCGGAAUUACUGGGCGUAAAGGGCUCGUAGGCGGCCAACUAAGUCGGAUGUGAAAUCCCCAGGCUCAACCUGGGAACUGCAUCCGAUACUGGAUGGCUUGAAUCCGGGAGAGGGAUGCAGAAUUCCAGGUGUAGCGGUGAAAUGCGUAGAUAUCUGGAGGAACACCAAUGGCGAAGGCAGCUCGCUGGGACGGUACUGACGCUGAGGCGCGAAAGCGUGGGGAGCAAACAGG